AGUGAACGCUGGCGGUAGGCCUAACACAUGCAAGUCGAACGGCAGCACAGUAAGAGCUUGCUCUUACGGGUGGCGAGUGGCGGACGGGUGAGGAAUACAUCGGAAUCUACUUUUUCGUGGGGGAUAACGUAGGGAAACUUACGCUAAUACCGCAUACGACCUACGGGUGAAAGCAGGGGAUCUUCGGACCUUGCGCGAUUGAAUGAGCCGAUGUCGGAUUAGCUAGUUGGCGGGGUAAAGGCCCACCAAGGAGACGAUCCGGAGCUGGUCUGAGAGGAUGAUCAGCCACACGGGAACUGGGACACGGUCCAGAGUCCUACGGGAGGCAGAAGUGGGGAAUAUGGAACAAUGGGCGCAAGCCUGAUCCAGCCAUACCGCGUGGGUGAAGAAGGCCUUCGGGUUGUAAAGCCAUUUUGUUGGGAAAGAAAAGCAGCAGGUUAAGACCCCGCUGUUCUGACGGUACCCAAAGAAUAAGCACCGGCUAACUUCGU
rnacentral:rRNA from 1 species